CCUACGGGAGGCAGCAGUGGGGGAUAUUGCACAAUGGGGGGAAGCCUGAUGCAGCGAUGCCGCGUGGGUGAAGAAGGGCCUCGGCGCGUAAAGCCCUGUCAGCGGGGAAGAAAAUGACGGUACCUGUAGAAGAAGCGCCGGCUAACUACGUGCCAGCAGCCGCGGGAAUACGGAGGGGGCAAGCGUUAACCGGAUUUACGGGGUGUAAAGGGGGCGGAGGCGGCGCUGCAAGCCAGGAGUGAAAGCCCGGGGCCCAACCCCGGAACUGCUCUUGGAACUGCGUGGCUAGAGUGCAGUAGUGGCAGGCGGAAUUCCUGGUGUAGCGGUGAAAUGCGUAGAGAUCAGGAGGAACACCGGUGGCGAAGGCGGCCUGCUGGACUGCAACCGACGUUGAGGCCCGAAAGCGUGGGGAGCAAACAGGAUUAGAUACCCUAGUAGUC
rnacentral:rRNA from 1 species